UGGGGAAUAUUGCACAAUGGGCGCAAGCCUGAUGCAGCCAUGCCGCGUGUAUGAAGAAGGCCUUCGGGUUGUAAAGUACUUUCAGCGGGGAGGAAGGUGUUGUGGUUAAUAACCACAGCAAUUGACGUUACCCGCAGAAGAAGCACCGGCUAACUCCGUGCCAGCAGCCGCGGUGAUACGGAGGGUGCAAGCGUUAAUCGGAAUUACUGGGCGUAAAGCGCACGCAGGCGGUCUGUCAAGUCGGAUGUGAAAUCCCCGGGCUCAACCUGGGAACUGCAUCCGAAACUGGCAGGCUUGAGUCUUGUAGAGGGGGGUAGAAUUCCAGGUGUAGCGGUGAAAUGCGUAGAGAUCUGGAGGAAUACCGGUGGCGAAGGCGGCCCCCUGGACAAAGACUGACGCUCAGGUGCGAAAGCGUGGGGAGCAAACA
rnacentral:rRNA from 1 species